rnacentral:rRNA from 1 species
UACGAAGGGGGCUAGCGUUGCUCAGAAUCACUGGGCGUAAAGGGUGCGUAGGCGGGUUUUUAAGUCAGGGGUGAAAUCCUGGAGCUCAACUCCAGAACUGCCUUUGAUACUGAAGAUCUUGAGUCCGGGAGAGGUGAGUGGAACUGCGAGUGUAGAGGUGAAAUUCGUAGAUAUUCGCAAGAACACCAGUGGCGAAGGCGGCUCACUGGCCCGGUACUGACGCUGAGGCACGAAAGCGUGGGGAGCAAACAGG